GCGCGGUGUACGCCGAUGGGUAAGGGGGCGACGGGAGGUCUCGAGGCUCGUGAUUUCCCGCUGUUGAUGCCGGUUCAAGUCCGGCCCCGCGCG
rnacentral:tRNA from 1 species